CACAGUGACCAACCUGUCCUUUCAUCACUGUUUUCUCUAUUGGCAGAGCAGACCCCAGCCUGAGAUGCAAUGCAGAGCUUCCUGGUGCUGCUGAAGGGGAGCAGGGAUGCCUGCCCACUGGCCAUGGACCUGGUGGCCCUUGUGGCAAGGCUGUGCCAGAACCUGCAGGUUGACCUUGCCCAGGCACCCAUCACCCUCCCUACUCUGCCUAGAGGGUCUAAAGAGUUAGAACUGCCCCAAGGAGGUUCACCAGAAGCUACAGGAUUUUCACCUGGAGUGUGGGCAACAGCUCCAGCAAGGCCCAAAAGGAGAGGAGUCGAGACUCGAACCCCCAGCUCGGUGCCCACGUCUGCGCCAAACGGCUCUUGAGCAAUCCGGCAGGGAAAGGAAAGAGGUGAGGACGGCGUCCACGAUGCAGGUCUGCAGGUCGGCAGGGUCCGUGGCUGCGCCGCCGCGUGGUCGGUUCUCCUGUGC
rnacentral:lncRNA from 1 species